GCUCAGGUGGCGGAACUGGUAGACGCGCAAGGUUGAGGGCCUUGUGACUGGCAACGGUCGUGGAGGUUCGAGUCCUCUUCUGAGCA
rnacentral:tRNA from 1 species